AACUAACAAGGAUUCCCCUAGUAACUGCGAGUGAAGCGGGAAAAGCUCAAAUUUAAAAUCUGACAGUUGUUUUGGCUGUCCGAGUUGUAAUCUAGAGAAGUGUCUACCCGCGCUGGACCGUGUACAAGUCUCCUGGAAUGGAGCAUCAUAGAGGGUGAGAAUCCCGUCUUUGACAUGGAUCUACCAGGGCUUUGUGGUGCACUCUCAAAGAGUCGAGUUGUUUGGGAAUGCAGCUCAAAAUGGGUGGUAAAUGCCAUCUAAAGCUAAAUAUUGGCGAGAGACCGAUAGCGAACAAGUACCGUGAGGGAAAGAUGAAAAGAACUUUGGAAAGAGAGUUAAACAGUACGUGAAAUUGCUGAAAGGGAAACGCUUGAAGUCAGUCGCAUCGACUGGAAAUCAACCUUGCUUUUGCAUGGUGUACUUUCUGGCUGAUGGGUCAGCAUCAAUUUUGAUUGCUGGAUAAAGGCUUGGGGAAUGUGGCAUCUUUGGAUGUGUUAUAGCCCCUGGCUGCAUACGGCAGUUGGGAUUGAGGAACUCAGCAUGCCGCAAGGCCGGGUCUUUUUGACCACRUAUAUGUGCUUAGGAUGCUGGCAUAAUGGCUUUAAUCGACCCGUCUUGAAACACGGACCAAGGAGUCUAACAUGCAUGYGAGUGUUUGGGUGGAAAACCCAUGCGCGCAAUGAAAGUGAAAGUUGAGAUCCCUGUCGUGGGGAGCAUCGACGCCCAGACCAGACCUUUUGUGACGGAUCUGCGGUAGAGCAUGUAUGUUGGGACCCGAAAGAUGGUGAACUAUGCCUGAAUAGGGUGAAGCCAGAGGAAACUCUGGUGGAGGCUCGUAGCGAUUCUGACGUGCAAAUCGAUCGUCAAAUUUGGGUAUAGG
rnacentral:rRNA from 1 species